rnacentral:lncRNA from 1 species
UAAGAACGGAGGGUGUUCGUUAUUGCUUCAAUACGGGUAGUGGUGAGAUAACCCCGACGUCCCCAGUACUGGUGUAGAUUGUUCGGGGGUACUACCACACUUUGUAUCGUUGUGAUCACGAGGAUCUGUUGUAGACGAAGGUCCGAGAUGCUGGUUGUGUGUUGAAGGAUGUGAUACAGGUGAUGGUUUAGAUUAGGAGUUGUGUGAAAUACUCCUUGUAUCCGUGUGCCUGAUUGCAUGACCAGUUAUUUCGGGAAUUCA